rnacentral:lncRNA from 1 species
AGAUUAAGGAAGCUUACUCUCCGGGAACUUCUCCGUUCAAGUACUCGGGGAUUUCUGAUCUGUCCAAGAGACCGUCGGGUAGGAAAAUUCUUCUGUCAGGUCCUGUAAGUAGUAUUCAGAUAUCGAGAGUAAGCAAAUGAAUAAAAGGGAAGUUGUAAAAUGGAGACUACAGGGACUGGGAAUUUCUAGAGGUUCUAUUUAACAUUAUUGUAGUACGUAGGAUUAACAGCAACAAGCAUAUGAAGGCAGUUCAUUAAGGAAAAUAAAGACAUAAUGUAAUGGAGUACUUCCUCAGUUUUAAGGAAAAAAUAGCCAGAUUUACAACUAGUAUUUGAAAAAUAGCCACAAUUUUAAAAGUAAUCGAAAUUUAAUCGCUUUUUUCAUGUAAAAAUAAAAUCUGAACAAAAACACCCUUAAAGAUCCAGAAAAAUUUCAGCAUAAUAUGGUAGAGUUCAAAUUUUAUAUAUGACCUUACAACAUAAUGUGCUUAAGUUCUAAAAUAAUAUGCACAAGGUCCAUAAUCCCGCAUAUUAUGCUGGAACUUUCCGUGUGCCGGAGUUCCAACAGGUUUAUACGCAGGAGCUCCGUAAACCUGCAUAUUAUGCUGGAACUUUCCGUGUGCUGGAGUUCCAAUAGGUUUAUAUGCAGGAGCUCCAUAAACCUGGAACAUUUUGUGUUACAUCAAAGCGGUGGCUAUUUUCCAAUAAAUUUGCAAACACUGAUUAUUUUUCAAUUACCCGUCCGAAAACUGGGUAGCUGGUGCUAUUUUCAUAUAAAAUGAAACGGAAGGAGUAAGUAUGUUACUCACCGUACCACUUGGCGAGCUCCUCGUCAGCAGGGGCGACAGCAGCAGCCUUCUUAGCAGGGGCAGCAGCAGCCUUCUUUUUGAAGAGGGCAACAGUUUUGAAGGUAGCAGAGGAGGAUGGAGUUGGAGCAGCUGGCCUUGCUACACCGCUGAACUUGACCGGACUUCCCAUCAUUUCCGAGACAUAGAGGGAGGUAGCUGCAGCCAUGGCUAACGGUGGAGCCGGAGGAGGUUGAGGUUGAGGUUGAGAUCAGUUGUUAGACGAAGAGUUGUUGAUGAUGAGAAUUGAGAAAUUGAGGAUGGUAUUUGGAGUGGAGAUACUCACUAAAUGGUUGAUCUGGUGGAUGUAGACGUGCCAAGUGGCGUCCUG